rnacentral:rRNA from 1 species
CGUAGGGUGCAAGCGUUAAUCGGAAUUACUGGGCGUAAAGUGUGCGCAGGCGGUUCGCCAAGUCAGGUGUGAAAUCCCCGGGCUUAACCUGGGAAUUGCGCUUGAAACUAGCGGGCUUGAGUGCGGCAGAGGGGGUGGAAUUCCACGUGUAGCAGUGAAAUGCGUAGAGAUGUGGAGGAACACCGAUGGCGAAGGCAGCCCCCUGGGUCGACACUGACGCUCAUGCACGAAAGCGUGGGGAGCAAACAGGAUUAGAUACCCUGGUAGUCCACGCCCUAAACGAUGUCGACUAGGUGUUGGGGAAGGAGACUUCCUUAGUACCGCAGCUAACGCGUGAAGUCGACCGCCUGGGGAGUACGGUCGCAAGAUUA